rnacentral:rRNA from 1 species
AACGAACGCUGGCGGCAUGCCUAACACAUGCAAGUCGAACGAGACCUCCGGGUCUAGUGGCGCACGGGUGCGUAACGCGUGGGAACCUGCCCUUAGGUUCGGAAUAACUCCCCGAAAGGGGUGCUAAUACCGGAUAAUGUCUUCGGACCAAAGAUUUAUCGCCUUUGGAUGGGCCCGCGUUGGAUUAGCUAGUUGGUAGGGUAAAAGCCUACCAAGGCGACGAUCCAUAGCUGGUCUGAGAGGAUGAUCAGCCACACUGGGACUGAGACACGGCCCAGACUCCUACGGGCGGCAGCAGUGGGGAAUAUUGGACAAUGGACGAAAACCUGAUCCAGCACUGCCGCGUGAGUGAUGAAGGCCUUAGGGUUGUAAAGCUCUUUUACCCGGGAUGAUAAUGACAGUACCGGGAGAAUAAGCUCCGGCUAACUCCGUG